GACACUUUUCUUCAAAUUCCAGACAUAAUGCAUUGUGGUCUGUAUUUGCUAUAUGCACGACCUACUUCCCCAUUCAGCACAUGACCGCUCAGUCAUUUCCGGUUGGGUUAGUGGACCGUUGUUUACACGGGAAUAGUGGAGUAUUUGGAGUUUACAGGAAGUCUUUUGGAACUACCAAGAGUCACUAUAAACAAUAUUAUUCGUAUCGUUCAUCUUUCUAGCAAAAUACUCCAAAAUAAAAAUGUAAAAAGGAUUUAAAUUGUAUUUGUGGUCCUACAUAACAAACUUCAAAGGUAACUUGCUAAGGUUGAUGCUUUUAGCACAUAUUUACAUGCGACCUAAAAGCUGAUGGAAAAUCGUGUUGUCGACUCAUAAUACGUGCAGUAAAGAUGCAGGUUGCUGACUUGUUUCACAUAUUUUAAGUCCACCCAAAGUGUCACUGGUUGCACACAUUUAAUGUUAAAGUCCCGUUAUACAAUCUAAGAAAUAACAAAAAUUAGACAACACCAGGAAUAGUACACAGAGAUCUGCUAAGUCGAUCCAUUCACAACCGGAAACGAACAAGCAGUCUCAGUUUGAACCAGAAAUCCGUCACAGCUCCGAGCUUGGAGUCCAUUCAGGAAUCCAGCAUCAAUGAACACCAGAUUUUCACUGAGACUUCUGGGAAAUUUCCAGGAUCAAUUUUGGAAUUGUAGAUUUGGACACCCAGAAAAAUGGCAAAUGCCCAUUAGUCACCAUGGCGACGGCUGGUCGGUGAUGUCACAUCUGUCCAGCUCAGCGUUUUGUUUAAAUCAAAUAACAGUUCAGGAGAUCAUGUGACGGACGCCAGUUUGGGAAUUCACAUCAGAACUCGCACAAAAUCACCCGAACACACACACACACACACACACCGACACAUGCACAAAGCACACACACUCAGAUGAACUCAUACUUACACACAAACAGAUGCACUUUAAUGUUCACACACACAAAUACACCCCUCUUCACAUGUUUUUACCCACACACAAAAACAUGCACCGAUACAUUCACACACAAAUACGUGCACACAAACACACAAACUUCCACACACAUACAAAUACACACACACACUUCCACUCACUAAAAUGCACAUACAGUGUAUCUGAAAAGCAUUCACAACGCCUCACUUCUCCCACAUUAUAUUAUGACAGUCUUAUUUCACGAUGGAUUAAAUCAGUUUUCUUCCUGAAAAAUUCCUUAAAAAAACACAUAAUGACGAUGUGAAAAAAGUUCUUUGGAAAUUUAUUAAAAUUAAAAAACCUGAAAAAUGAUUUAUAUAAAAUAUUAAAAUACACACAUGCACUUCAACACACAUACAAAUUGACCUACACUAAAAUGCACACACAAAUAGACACACACUAAAAUGUGUGUACAAAUAUACACACACACUAAAACACACAUACAUACACACAUCUAGACACUCAGACGAUACAUUUGAACUUUUCUCCAGCUAUAUUAGGAAUAUUUUGGUUUUCAUCCAUUACUUUGCUUCUGUAUCGUUCCAGGAGUCUUUCUGGUGAAGAAGGUUAGAGGAAACAUGCAGACAAUUCUCACCUCCUGAUUUAUUCGUUCUGUUUUUGAACAACUUUAGUCCCAAACAUAUUUGCUAAAGUUAUAGUUCCAGGCAGAAUCUAAACUGGUUUUCUGAAUAAACUGGUCAGAACUCACCAAAGUGGACCCGGUUCUUCCCCUUUCUGGUGGUUUACGGACCUGCUGACAGACGUCUGUGUCUGAGGACCAGAUCCACGGGCUCCCCGAGUGCUGGGACUCUGAGCCUCCGCUGGGAAUCAGGUUAAUGUGACAGAAUUCAUUAAGUUAAUGAGGCUUUUAUCGUCUGAGUGGAUCAUCUCUGUCAGAAAGGAUCUCUGCACAGCCGAGGCGACCCCACCCCCGCUGGUUUUUCUAUGAGCUCACCUGUCCAGUAGGCUGUCCACCUGUUACCUGAACCAGGUGAGUCCUGACAGAACAGGACACAUGAUCUGAGCGUGGCUGAAGAACUCCAGAGUCAGACUGAAGGCAGCAGGUUUUUUAUUUAGCAAAUCCACCGAGUCCAACAUUUUUACAUUCUUGAUUGUGACUUAAUAUUUCUGACACGUUUGAGUUCCUGACCAACAACAGAAACACCUGAGAUCACGCUGGGACCUCGAGAAGCUUCAGCAGAUCAAUGAUACAACAGACUUUUGGAAAACCACCUUCUGAUUGGUCGGUCAGAGGGAUCUCCGGUCAGUCAGAGGGAUCUCCGGUCAGUCAGA